AGAUUGGAACUUAAAUAGUAGCAACUAUUUAUUCACAACCGAUACAAAAGAGUUACAUGUAUUCUUCUGUAACUGUCCUUUAAAGUAGUCACCAGCAUUGUGUAGAACCCUUUAGCAGAGCUUGUUCUGUUGAAGGUGCGAAUGGAGCGGUCUACUGCCCAUGUCUCAUCCAGUGUUACGAUAUGGCAUAAGGAAGCCUCUCAUUCGCGCUCAUAGUAUUCCAAGUGCGUCUGAGCAGCGUCGUAACGCAUCCAUUUCUGCAUUUUCGUCAAUUCAUGCGGAACCCAUCGUGGCAUUCGCUUCAGAACUGUUCCAGAGGUUCGACAGGCAGUAAACCGCUCCAUUCGCACCAUCAACAGAACAGGCUCUGCUAACGGGUUCUACACAACGUUGGUGACUACUUUGAAGGACAGUAACAGAAAUGCGGAAUUACAUAGAAAUACCCAUUGAAAUAUUUUACUAUUCUUACAAUUUAAUGACAAGAUGGUCUUCCGGUACAAUAAUGUUUGCGUAGCCUAAAGUUCAACUCACAGAGCAAUGUGAAAAAGAUUAAAAAAGAAAAAUUGAUAAAUUAUAAUCCUAAGCUUAACAAAUACAUCGUUUUCUGCAAGUGCAAUGUCACGAGUUUAAACAUAUUCAAGAAAGAGAAAAUAUAUUCAUAUUAUGUAGUUGAUAACAUUUAAGGCGAUAUGAUGAUAUGUGCUAUUUCUAAUAUAAUAAAUUUUAAUAAUGCAUAUUUUACUGUCAUAUGCGACAUUAAAAAACGUUGUACGAAUGAAUGUGAUGCUGUUUUUUUUUUUAGAGUUGAUAUAGCUUCGUUUUAUGUUUCUCUUUGUGAUUUGAAUUUGUAUUGAAAUCACAGAGAUGAUUCCAAAAAUUUUCUAAAUAAUUAUAUUUGUAUUACAAAGUAGAGCUAUAUAGAAUGCAGUUAAAUAAUGAAAAUAUUAAAACUUGUAGAAGUUUCUUGUUUCAAAAACUUUACAUUUCAAAAUAAAAUAAUCAAUAUAUAUAUAUAUAUAUAUAUAAAUAUAUAUAUUUAAUCAUUUUUGCAUAAUAACAGAGUUAAUAUUGACUUUCAACAAUAUCUUAACAGAGUUUGUUUUUUAAUUGAUAACGCGUUUUUAUUUUAUUUACAUAUGAAAAAAAAAAAAAAAAAUAACAAGAAUUUUGUACGUAUGAAUUAAUUGAUGAAAUAGUAGCUAACGUGUAUACAACACUUCACUUGUGCAACUGAUCUUUUCAAUUGACUAAAUUGUUAACGUUCUGAUUGUCAAUUCUAUUUUUCUAGCCCAAACUUCAAAAUACAUUUUUGUGUAAUUAUUUCUAAAAUAAGAAGUUUUUUCAAUGUAUUGCAUAACAAAUGCUUAUUAAAUUAAUAAUUUGUCAUGUAAUCUAUGUACAACAGAAAUGUUCAAAAUUGGUAUACAUAGGGCCUAUUGCCCUAAUCUUCAUUCAUUUUGUUCUUUCUCUAACAUAAAUGAAUUCUUACUUUCACCAUAUUCAGCACUUUCCUAAGUUUGUUUUUGCUAUUGUUAUAUUAUAACAAUUACUGUAUUUACUGUUUAAUAUAGAUUGCGAAUUAUGAUAUUUAAAAAUGAUUAAGAAGUAAGAAUAUUUGAAUGUGGGUGGGUGUGAGGGGUUGAGGGCAACAAUGAGCAACAUUAUUUCUCCUUCAAGUAAAACUUACAAUUAGUACAUCUCUAAUGUGUACAAUAUUGGUUAAAUUUAUGUAAAUAUUAUUAAUACAGUAUAUUAUUGAACGUAUGAACCUGCUAUUCAAAGAAAUUAUAGCGAAUAAUGGAUUGAAAAUAUUUUUAAAUGCAAGUAAUUGGGGAAAAAAAAAAA